CUUUCUCAAAUAAAAUCUUUAAAAAAAUUAAAAAAAAAUCUCAACGGUUCAUCUUUUUUUCUCUGGAAAUGAAGACAACUCCAGAAGGUUAGCGUCUCUUUGCCUCUAAAAUGACUUUAAGAAGAAAAGCUAAAAUAAGAAAAUGUACUGGGUCAAAUAUCACCCAUAAGAACGUAAACAAGGAAUAGCCCUGGAUGAGCUUCUUGUGGAAACUGCUUUGGCAGCAGUGAGGAAGUGCUGGGUCAUGUGUCCUGGGUCACUCACUCCAUCAUCUUCCUCCUCAAGAUGGUACAUAAGGGGCUCCCCCAGCAGAAGGCGGCAUCAGACCUCCCUCACCUCCUGAGUCUCCCUCCUCACCUCUCCUGAGUCCUUACUCUCCUGACACGAUGGGGUGCUGUGGCUGUGGAAGUUGUGGUGGCUGCGGUGGCUGUGGUGGCGGCUGCGGUGGCUGUGGUGGCGGCUGUGGUGGCUGUGGUGGUGGCUGCGGUGGCUGUGGUGGCUGUGGUGGUGGCUGUGGUGGAAGCUGUACCACCUGCAGAUGCUACCGGGUCAACUGCUGUCCCUGCUGCACCGGCUGCUGCGGAUGCUGCUGCACUGUCCCCGUGGUCUGCUGCUGCCGCCGCUCCUGUGGCUGCAGUUCCUGUGGCUGUGGCUCGUGUGGCUGUGGCUCAUGUGGCUGCGGCGGUGGGAAGGGCUGUUGCCAGCAGAAGUGCUGUUGCCAGCAGAAGUGCUGUUGCAAGAAGCAAUGCUGCUGCUAGUUGGCUGUGCCUCUAGAGUGAGAGA